UGAUAGUAUAAAUACCAACGUCACCCCUUCAUAAAAUCCUCUUCCGCGCUUAACUCAACAAUGUAUGGUGUACAGGUCAUACUGUGCGGGCCACAAAAUGAUUAUGAAGUACAAACCAACGUUACUUGAUCCUGAUGAAUGACUCAGCGAAAAUGGUUUACGAUCAGAUUAUGAAGUACAAACCAACGUUACUUGAUCCUGAUGAAUGACUCAGCGAAAAUGGUUUACGAUCAGAUUAUGAGGAUCAAUCUGCUCGAUCCUGGAUGACAAUGGUGUACAAUCAGGUUAAAACCACCUUUAAGCUGACCUUGUUAAGGAAACCAGGCCAUCCAGGAGCGUGGUUGUGCCUCAAGUUGUUGUCGGAUGGUUGGAACCUCUAGUCGGACUCAUCAAUACAGUUGCCUACAUGGAAAAUUGGCUGAUCUUGCUGUUUUAGGGUUACAUCGCAAAAUGAGCCACAGGCCAAGGUUCCUGGAGGCUGUCAGACCAGUUGCGUUUGUAAUUAAUGUCCUUGAUGCCUCAACUGAGCAGGGUUUGGUCAUGAAAGUGCAAGGACAAUUACCACUGACCUGCAAUGUUCACUAUUUUAUUGUGCUGUCCAAAUUUACUUAAUUAAACUGCAAAUGUAGUGUGAACUAUAGCUUGGUCAAUAAAGAAUUACUCAAA